AGGAAUUCGAGAAGGCAGUGAGUGUGGUUGGAGACUCUCCAUCUAGAGGAAUGUUUAUAGAUUCUUGCUUUGACCACGGUUAAACAGAAUCAUAGGAAACAUGGUUUAAAAGUGACUCACCACAUCUUGCCAAUACAUUGAAAAACGAACUUGUCAUGGAAAUAAAUGAUCAAAGAGUCAAAUAGUUCAGUUUUUUAUCUGGGUAAAGUAUUUUUAUUCCUAAUUGCUACUACGUUGUGGAUAAACAUGUCUUGCAAUUGUAGGAUGUUGUGGAGGCUUAAAUGAGAAGACUGAAAUUGGAGCUCAAGCAAACAAUGGAAAUGUACAGCAAUGCUUACAAAGAAGCACUCACCGCACAGCAAAAGGUUGUGGAACUCCAACGCUGGAAAUUAGAGGAAGAGAGGAGAUUGGAGGAGGCAAGGCUUGCCAAAGAAGUUGCAUUGGCGGUUGCA